UACGUAGGGUGCGAGCGUUAAUCGGAAUUACUGGGCGUAAAGCGUGCGCAGGCGGUUCGUUGCGUCGGCGGUGAAAGCCCCGGGCUCAACUGGGGAGGGUCACGCGAUACUGAUCGACUCGAAGGCAGGAGAGGGUAGUGGAAUUCCCGGUGUAGUGGUGAAAUGCGUAGAUAUCAGUUAGAACACCAAUGGCGAAGGCAGUCACCUAUCUCAUAAUUGACGCUAAAGCACGAAAGUGUGGGUAGCAAACAGG
rnacentral:rRNA from 1 species